rnacentral:rRNA from 1 species
CCUAGGGGAGGCAGCAGUGGGGAAUAUUGGGCAAUGGGCGCAAGCCUGACCCAGCAACGCCGCGUGAAGGAAGAAGGCUUUCGGGUUGUAAACUUCUUUUCUCAGGGACGAAGCAAGUGACGGUACCUGCGGAAUAAGCCACGCCUAACUACGUGCCAGCAGCCGCGGUAAUACGUAGGUCGCAAGCGGUAUCCGGAGUUACUGGGUGUAAAGGGCGUGUAGGCGGGAAAGGAAGUCAGAUGUGAAAACCAUGGGGUCAACCUGUGUCCUGCAUUUGAAACUGUUUUUCUUGAGUACUGGAGAGGCAGGCGGAAUGCCGUGUGUAGCGGUGAAAUGCGUAGAUAUCAGGAGGAACACCAGUGGCGAAGGCGGUCUGCUGGCCAGCGACUGACGGUGAGGCGCGAAAGCGUGGGGAGCAAACAGGAUUAGAUACCCCUGUAGUC